rnacentral:tRNA from 1 species
AAAGAUUUAGUUAAUUUAUAACAUUAGAAUGUCAAACUAAAAUUAUUUUAUUUAAAUAAUCUUUG